UCGCCCGGCCGGCCCACCUGCCGCCCAGCCCACCCCGGCGCCCGUUGCGAAAAUGGGGGGCUCGGCCCACGCCAAUAUCCGUAGGAUCUCCCCGCGGGGCUUUAUCCUGGUAGAUUUACCAAAAGAGCGACGAACGGUUUAUUUCUCUGUGCAACUCCUUGAAGUGGUUUCCUUCUCCCUCGCCACCCAUAAGCGUGCUUAAUAUUGGGACUCGAUUGCCUGUGGGCUUACGACACUGACCAAAAUUCCAUGGAUGGGAAAGCAGGAGAAAAGGAGAAGGAAAAAAAGAAGCAAAGAGUAUCUGUGUUCAACUGAGGAGUGACAAAUAUAUUCUCCUGCCUGUUGCUGGUUCACGUGUUCUGAGAAGAAAUUGAAUGCACAGACAGAGCGCCAGUAUUUUCAGCAUGGAAACCACAAGUCUUGGAAAGAAAGUUUUCCACUGGUUGCUCCUCUCUUCUGCCAAUAUAUGCAUCAUCAUCUUUACUGCUUCUUUAGUGUAUCACAAAUAAGAUACCAUUUAGAUGGUGAGCAGUUAAUUUUGCUCAACAACAAAUGCAAGCUUUUCUUAUAUUCUGCAUCAGUUCUCAUGAAAGAGAGAAGGCAGAUGGGUGUGGAAACUGAAGCUCUCUACCUACAACAAAAUAACCACAAGUUGAGUUUACUCUCUGAGAUUGGAAGGACUGUCUACUGCUCAGAGGAGAUGAUACCACCCAUCACUGGCACAUACAGCUUCCACUCCUAAGAGGGAAAGAUAACAACCACUAAUGAUACAGACUAGUACGACAAAAUUGGUGAUUGAAUUUGUGCCUUGAAACUAGGCUACACCUUAGGAGUGAGUCUUCUCGUGGGGUUUCUCUGAGUGCAGAUAUAUAUCAUGCUCUUACUCAUGGCUCAGAACCAGAAUCAACUUUUUUGGUUUUUGUCCCUUUUGUCCAGGCAGAGCUGGCACACCAGGCUUGUCCGUGACAUUAACCCUCUAAGUCCUAUUUCAGGAAGAUUGCUGCACUGCAGCCUUCUGCAAAGGGGGAAAUGCAGGCCAGAGAGUCAGGAGACAAUAUUAUUAGCUUCAUGCAAAGCUGUUUAGGUGGGGAUUUUUGUAAGUACAGACUGGAUAACUUGGUGUGACAUGAGCAGAAUAUAACUUUUGAUGCAACAUCAGGAGAACUGUGAAGAGAAGGAAGGAAAACCUGUUUUAUCUUAAGUAGAGAGAUGACAGCAUAACAUCCCAAUGCAAUGACAGCAGAGGAAUGGUUUGCUGUUAAGUGAGAGUUUGUGCUGACAAACAGCUGGGCUGUAGGGCUGUGGGUGAUUAAGUAAUAAUGCAUGGUGAUAGGAUUGUAUAACGGAACAAAACAAAUGAAGCGCCGUGUACAAGAUGAAUACUGUGAGAAUAUAACAGGAAAGAAAGUAAUACCAGAUAUUGGGAAUCAAGUUAGCAGCCUUUUUCUAUAUUUAGAAUCCACUAAGAUGAGUAAGCACUGAAUUUGUGAUACAAAGUCCAUGAAAAGCCCAAAAGCCAGAACAGCAUAUAAGAAAGUCUGUGCUAUACUGUGCAAGGUUCAGUAAGUGCUUGGCUCUUCUCAGCUGGCUGUUUAAGUUAUGGUAACAUGCUGAAUGAGACUGGAUAAAGCUAUACAUUCAGUCACAGUAGGGCUGUGAACUAAUUCCAAGUGCAGUGUCACUCUCCUUGCAGUGUUGUGCACCCUGGUCUCUCUGUUCUUGUCAGAGGGUAGGCUCUCAGUCAACAUUUAGUCCAUACCCUGUGAGUUUUAGCUGCAUGUUGUGAGGAAACAUGCAAGCUUCCAAAUUAGUACAAGUGAGGGUCUGGCAGCUAGUCCAUCACUCGUUUCUAACACCUCAUUUUUGAAUCUAUUAUGAAGAAUUUCAAGAUAGGCAUCUGUGGUUUAGGCCUGUCUUUGGACAGGAAGAGAGGAACUGUAUGACCAUCUGAGCUCCCUGUCAGCUCUGUGGUCUGUCCCACCACCAUACUAGAUGCACUGCAGUUGGAAGGCACAGGGAUGUGAGGAAUCCUGCCUAGCUCUUCCUGAUUUCUUCUGCAGCAGACAACAAUCAAGCAGUAUUAUUAUUUGAAAGCAAACUCCACGUGUAUGUAGGUUUGGUGAGACUUCCUGCUGACACAAUAUUCAUUGCAAAGUAGCCUUCCAUUACAGUUUGGCACUGCAAAGUCCAAAUUAGAUAGUAUUGCAGUUCUCUUGAGAUGGCUGUGAAUGAGGGUUUGUACGAAGAUGACAUUUGCAAUAUAGUGUUAGCUUUGGCUACUUUGCCCCUCCUGCACUGAAUUCCAAACCAGAUACAAAUAUAGGAAGAGAUAUGAUUGCUGAAGAGAACUGGAAGGACUUUCCCGUGUAUGACUGUCAAUUCUGGGAACAGAAAACAGCAUGAGGGUUAAUUAUUUUUUCAGUGUUUUGAACUAAAGUUAUGCAUGGGUUUGGAGACUUUUUAACACUAGGAUGUUUUGUGUGCUGUUCAGUGUGAAUGAAUGCAAUUAAAUAGUCCACAAAAUUCAGCAAAAACUAAAAUUUAUUUUCACAUGGAGCCCCAAAGCCAAUGGUAUACUGUAAUUUUAAACACUGAGUAACUGUUAAUAUAUUAUAGUGACAACUAUCAGAAUAUCUACAAAGCUAAUGGAAAAAUAAGAGAAAGGUGACACUGUCAAAGUUUGCUUAUUUCUUGAAGUGGCUCAUUGUGGAUCAUUGCACGCAGUGCACAGAAAAAUGCAUAACAUAUUUGGCACGUUGGGUCACUUCCACACCCACACUCUUGCAAGAGCGUGUGGGAUUUGAAAGGAGGCUGGAGCCAGGUGAAAAAAGGCUGGGUAUUUUUGUGCUUUCAGUCGCAGUGUAGAUAGAGUGCUUUUUGUUAGUGUGGACAUCCACAGAAAAGGGAACCAGGCCAUAUAGGUAACUAAAAUCAGGGCAUUUCUUGACUUCUUAAGGCUUAAGAUUAAUACCUCAAAACUCUUUUGAUGUAAGGUUUUGGUGUGUUUUCUGUAUUAUAGCAUUCUAUUGCUGAACUGGUCCAGCAUGUCUCUACAAAAAGACAUGUGGAAACCAUCUUUAGAGACAAAACAGAAUCACAGAAUAUGCUGCAUUGGAAGGGACAAAGAUCAUGGAGUCCAACCCUUAACACUGUACAGAAUAGCAACACGCUGCACUGUGUCACUCUAACACUGCUUUCAACUAUUCGCUGUCAAUACAUUUGAAGUUCUGCCUUUAUCACUAAUUGUAGUACAAAAUUGUCUGGAACAUGACAGUUAACUAAAUUCUUUAUCUUUGUGCUGAUUAGCACAAAAGCAGAGCAAUAGCAAAGCCCUUAGUCAUGUAUUCUGUACCUCAGGACUUUUAAUUCACAAUAUUCAUAAUCCAUGUUGCAAAAUAUAACCCUCCAAAUUACAAUACUGCCAUAUUUUCUCAUGUAUUAUAAAAAAAAUCAUUAACAUUUAACUGUACAUAUGAGCAGUGUAUGAUAGGAAAGACAGUCAGAGCAGGUGACAAGUCUGUUCAGCUCAGUGCAAAGUUACUCAUUACUGUGGGAAGCUGUAUUCAAGCAGCCUGGCAUCAACAAAGCACCUGGUCUCAACUUUUCUGUUUUCCAGAAAUGCCUGACAGUGCUACCAGCCUGAACUUAGUUAUUUCCUGACUUUUGAAGGCUUGACUCAAUGACCUACCAUACUUUGUUUUUUAUAGCUAUGUGUGUAAUGUCAUGCCACUUCAAAAUGGUGCCUGAAG